GACGAACGCUGGCGGCGUGCUUAACACAUGCAAGUCGAACGGAAAGGCCCUGCUUUUGUGGGGUGCUCGAGUGGCGAACGGGUGAGUAACCCGUGAGUAACCUGCCCUUGACUUUGGGAUAACUUCAGGAAACUGGGGCUAAUGCCGGCUAGGAGCUCCUGCUGCAUGGUGGGGGUUGGAAAGCUUCGGCGGCUGGGGAUGGACUCGCGGCUUAUCAGCUUGUUGGUGGGGUAGUGGCUUACCAAGGCUUUGACGGGUAGCCGGCCUGAGAGGGUGACCGGCCACAUUGGGACUGAGAUACGGCCCAGACUCCUACGGGAGGCAGCAGUGGGGAAUAUUGCACAAUGGGCGGAAGCCUGAUGCAGCAACGCCGCGUGCGGGAUGACGGCCUUCGGGUUGUAAACCGCUUUCGCCUGUGACGAAGCGUGAGUGACGGUAAUGGGUAAAGAAGCACCGGCUAACUACGUG
rnacentral:rRNA from 1 species